CUCUUUAUCCAGGCAAGUUGGCAAGUUUAAUGGUUACAUUCUUUCUGGGCAUUCUAGGUUACCAUGGCAUCCAGGCUGGCAAAGCAGCCUGUGUGUGUUCUCUUGGAAGCAGAAGAUAAAGGGAACUGCUCCCAGCACAGUGUCUGCAACAAAAUUGCUUGACCGCUUUGAAGAAGAGGGCCACGUUUCGAAGUUCACUGGCAGGCCUGGCGUCCAGCCUAGUGAGGGUCCAAAGUUGGCACCGAGGAAGCGUUGGAUGAGUAAGUGACUCUUGGAAAGUUUGGGAUUUCUUCAAUGAAAGCAACAACGUGACAAUGAAGUCUUGUCACCGUGGGCCACCUCUGAAAACCACAUCGAGAGCGGCGCACGGCUUGGCCGAUCCACAUGCCCAUGACUUUCCCGUUUGAAACCUCAGUGCUGAGCAGGCUGUAGCAGCACUCUGCCUGAGUUCUUUAUUGAGUAUGCUUCUCUUUUGAUCUGCUUCUAAUUUACCUUGUUCUUUGUGCUGCCUGCUGGUCUAU